UGAGCAAUCUGCCCUUCUCUUUGGAAUAAGCGUUGGAAACGACGUCUAAUGCCGAAUACGACCUCCUUUCGCAUGAUUGGAGGUGGAAAGCUCCGGCGGAGAAGGAUGAGCUCGCGGCCUAUCAGCUAGUUGGUGUGGGUAAUGGCCCACCAAGGCGACGACGGGUAGCCGGCCUGAGAGGGUGACCCGGCCACACUGGGACUGAGACACGGCCCAGACCUCCGUACGGGGAGGCAG
rnacentral:rRNA from 1 species